AAACUUUCAACAACGGAUCUCUUGGCUCUCGCAUCGAUGAAGAACGCAGCGAAAUGCGAUAGGUAAUGUGAAUUGCAGAACUCAGUGAAUCAUCGAAUCUUUGAACGCACAUUGCGCCCUGGGGCAUUCCUCAGGGCAUGCCUGUCCGAGCGUCAGUGCAAACCACCUCACGGAACACGUGGUGCUGGCGGAGGUG
rnacentral:rRNA from 1 species